UACGGAGGGUGCGAGCGUUGUCCGGAAUCACUGGGCGUAAAGGGCGCGUAGGCGGUACUUCAAGUCAGGCGUGAAAGCCCCGGGCUCAACCUGGGAACCGCGCUUGAGACUGGAGAACUAGAGUUCGGGAGAGGAUGGUGGAAUUCCCAGUGUAGAGGUGAAAUUCGUAGAUAUUGGGAAGAACACCGGUGGCGAAGGCGGCAUCCUGGACCAACACUGACGCUGAGGAGCGAAAGCCAGGGGAGCAAACGGG
rnacentral:rRNA from 1 species